GCGGCGGACGGGUGAGUAACACGUGGGUAACCUGCCCAUAAGACUGGGAUAACUCCGGGAAACCGGGGCUAAUACCGGAUAACAUUUUGAACCGCAUGGUUCGAAAUUGAAAGGCGGCUUCGGCUGUCACUUAUGGAUGGACCCGCGUCGCAGUAGCUAGUUGGUGAGGUAACGGCUCACCACGGCCACGAUGCGUAGCCGACCUGAGAGGGUGAUCGGCCACUCUGCCACUGAGACACGGCCCAGACUCCUACAGGAGGCCCCCAUAUGCAAUCUUCCGCACUGGACGAAAGUCUGAAAGAGCAACGCCGCGUGAGUGAUGAAGGCUUUCGGGUCGUAGAACUCUUUUGUUAAGGAAGAACAAGUGCUAGUUGAAUAAGCUGGCACCUUGACGGUACCGAAGGGUAAUGCCCCGGCAAAAUACAUGCCAGCUGUCUCAGGGAUUCAUAAGGUGGCAAGCGCUGUGCGGGAUUAUUGGGGCGUACUGCGCGUGGAGCGAGCUUCUUUAAGGCUAAGUGGAGGCCCCCAGUGCACCACGGAGUUUCACUGUAAAUGGGUGCACUUUGGGGCUCCCUCUCCUGCUGCUCAACUAGCAAUCUAGCAACAGGGUAAAGCGACCUAGUGAGUUUCCCAGUACACGUGCAUAUACAAAUAAGAGCGAUCACACCCAUCGCACAGGAGUUACAUCUUAAUCAUUCGCACUGUGGUCUCCGGCAUACAGUGACACUCCAAUGUCCUGACCGGGACUCCCACCUCAGGUUAAGACACAGGCUUAGCUCGAAGUAUCGCCAAGAACUGCACCUAGUGCUGGCAUCCUACGAACAACCGAGACAUAUGGCAUGUCGUUCGCGAUGAGAUUCUCACUUGGUACAUUCUAGUUGUCAGCUCGUUCCACUAGAACUUGCGUUUAGUAAAGAAAAGAGUGUUAUCACUCUUAUGCAUUCCAAUCAAUAAGGCGUUAUUUCGUAGGAGAAUGCUGUAGUGAAGCCGAUGGAAGGGUGGACGACGUCAAAGCGUCUUGCCCGUGUUGCCGUGGGCGACACGCCGAUCACCAUGGCCGGUACAAAGAGCAGCAAGACCGCGAGGUGGAGUUAAUUUCAUAAAACCGUACUCAGUUGCGGGUGUAGGCUGCACUAGCGUACGAUGAAGCCGGUAUCGUUCGAAAUCGCGGGUCAGCAUGCCGCGGCGAAUACGUUCCCGGGCCUCGUACACACCGCCCGUCUCAUAGGGAGAGUUUGUAACACCCGAUGUCGG
rnacentral:rRNA from 1 species